GAGCGAAAGUGCAAGCCCCACGUGGGACAGGGACCGUGUCCCACCCCACUGUCUUGUAUCCACUGUGGUGCACAUUGCUUGGCACCUGGAAAGCCCUUAACAAAUAUCAUUAAACAGGAAAAAAGAAACAAAAAGGAGAGACGGAGUGGAGGAGACAGUGGGGCCUGGGAAUGGGAAAGUCUCAGUGAAGAGUUUGAGUUGAUUGAUCGACUGAUUGAUUCACUGUCUCAUUCAUUCUUAUUUAUCGAAUAUCCCCUUGGGUACAAAGCACUGUCCUAAGCGCAGGGAAAGCACGGGGAGAGAACCGGCCCCCAACUUCGAGGAGCCUGUGAAUGGGUUGCAGGUGUUUACAAUGAAGGAUGUUUUUCCAGGACCAUUUAACGAUGAGCAGCUGCAAACCCCCUUCUCCUAUUGGUCUCUUGCUUCUCCAGCCCCACGCCCAGGCACCCAAUCUCUCCCUUGGAUUCCCCUCGGGGCGGGGUGGGCGGAGUGACACUGCCCCUUUAAAGCCUCAGAGGUUUCUGGAACUUUCUCUCCCUUUUAUAAACGUCCGUGCUUGAGACGUUUGGUUUUCUUUCUUUCUUUCUGCUGGUGUGGAGAGGGGUAGAGCGUCUUGUUCUGCUCCUUUGGGACGUAGGGCUUAUGAGGCCUUGCUUAGUUUCUCUCUUUUUCUUAGCCGUCUUAAUUGACGUUUACUGAAUUAGGUGUUGGGUAGAGGUUCGUUUCGAUGGUUCUAGAAGCACUCGGCUUGGUGUUUCGGCGGGGCGAUUGAAGGCUGGGCUUCUUAAUCUUUUCUCCGUGGGUGAGGGGUUGGUUGUGGCGGGAGGUAGUUUUAUCUGAGUUCUUCAAAAAUGAGGUGGGUGCUGAGAGGGUUGGCUUAUAAUGCUAAUAAUAUUUAAGGACUUAAUCGUGUUGUCCCUUGUGGGCUUCCUAGUCUUAACUCUUCCAAACGACGUAACUGAGGUACAGUGAAGUAACUUUCAAUAACUUAUUGAGUGCUUAUUGUGUACAGUAAUACUCUCUUUCGCGCUCUUCUUUGUCGCGGUUUUUGUGCCCGCUCCCUUGCGCCUUUUACGCGCUCUUUGCCCGUCGUAUGCGCCGCCUUUUGUGCGCUUUUUUUCUCCUUUUCUGUGCCCGCUCCCAUGCGCUUCUCUGCGCGCUUUUCUGCGCCACCUUCCGUGCGCGCUCUUUUGUGCGUCUUUUCUCCCUUUACUGCGCGCUUUCCUGUGCUCGCUCCCGGGCGCCUCUUGCUCGCUCUUGUGUGCGCCCUCUCCAGUGCGCUCUUUUGCGCCAACUCCCGUCCCUUUUUUUUGUGCUGUUCUGCUUCCUCUUCCGUGCGCUUCUGUGUUUCUAAGCGCCCGCUCCCGUGCGCCUCUUGAGCGCUCUUCUGUGCGCCCUUUUUUUCUCUUGUGCGCCUUCUGUGCCCUCUCCCGUGCGCUUUUCUGCGCGCUUUGCUGCCCCUCCUUCCGUGCGCCUCUUGUUCGCGUUGCUGCGUUUUUGCCCGUGCACCUCUUGCACGCUUUUCUGUGCGCCUUGUUCUCUCCUGCACCUCUUGCGCCCUCUUCUGCAUUCUCUUGCGUGCACUCGUUUGAGUCUUCUCCUGUGCCAUUCUUGCGCUUCAAAAUGCGGUCUCUACCGUACGCCUCUUGCACGCUCUUCUGUGCACCUUUGCGUGGUUUUCUGCGCCCUCUUCCGUGCGCUCUUCUGCGCGCUUAGCUGCUUUAUCACCCGUGCGCCUUUUUCGUCUUUUGCUCUUUCUGCGCGCUUCUUGGCGCGCCCUUCCGUGCUCCUCUUGCACACUUUGCUGCGCCCUUUCUUGUGGUGUCGAUAGAUUGAGCGCCGGGGCUGGGUCCGGGAAGCAUCAGUGUGGGUAGGUGGGUCAGCCUGUGAGUCCCUCCGGGGCAGGAUCUGAGAGCCGCCGCCAAGGGAGGGGCGGGCUGCUGGUAUCGUCGUGUGGCCCUCGACGGCUCUAGAAUGGAAGCCUCUCCAGGACAGAAUUGCGCCGCCGUCAGCUGUUUUUCGGGGGACUCUCUUUGGGGGCUUCCCUCUGGCUGUACCCCAAGAGUUGAGUCUCUUUCCAUCCCCUUGGAGCUCCGUUAUAGCUCCCUAAAAGCCUAGGUAUGAGGGGGGCUCAGAGCCCUACCCCCCGGAGUAGAUUGUACGCUUAAGUUGAGCAGGGAAUGCAUCUGUUAUGCUUUUUGAGUAUUCCUUUGCCUUCGACCGAUAUGACGGACUGACUCGGACCAUGGUAGUAGCGACGGAAGCGGAGUAACGGCGUUCUUUGGGUAUACUAAUACCUACUGAGUCAGAACCUCGUCUGCGAAAGACUUCCAGUGCACUCUCCCUCGGCUCGUCGUGGCUCCUAACGAAAUGGCUGUAAUUGUAUUUCUACUCCCGUCUGUCGCUCCUUGUACAUUGUAAGCUCCCAGUGCCCUCGGCUCCUCGUGGCUCCUAAUGAAAUGGCUGUAACUGUAUUUCUACUCCUGUCUGUCGCUCCUUGACCAUUGUAAGCUCCCAGUGGGCAGGGAAUCCGUCGAUUGAUGGUCAUACUGUGCUCCGCCUCCGGUAAACGCCGGAUGAAUACCACCGACCGACUGCAACGGACGCCCUUCGUGAUGGAGGCCUCUUGCCCAUCACGUUUUGCGUACGGUGCUCUCUGCGAGAGCCUUCAAUAAUCACUAGCGCCGUCUUAAUGCGAUAUUGCCACCCUUCACUCUCUGUACUGAUGUCCCUUUUUUUUUCAUGUUCUCGAAUCGCCGUUUCAAGCUACCCCUGGGUUCAGUGUGCGCAACUUGAUGUUUCGACCUGCAAUAUGCCUUUGCACCUGUGUGUGACUUAGUUGUAAUGUCUGUCUUAAAGGUUCUCGAGCGCGGGGGUCAUGUAUGCUCUGUACGGCAUGAAGCAUUUGGUACCGUGUUCCAAAAUCAGCGCUUCCCCAAUGUCUACUAAGUGGUUGUAUUCCCCCAGGGGCCUAAUACGGUGCUUGGCUCACAGAGCUCAAAUAAACGACUGACGGACUCGGGUUGUAAACGCCCACGGGGGAGGGCCUGCGGCUCCUCCACCCAGCUUGCCAAAGAGGGUGUUUAAUGGGGUGGUCCUAGCUCAAGUCGGAGCUUAGGGGGGCGUGACGUGGCCCAGUGGGGCUCCGUUGGGGGUGGAGUGGAGGAGGAGCGGCGGUGGAGGACCGGACCGGCAAUGGGUAAGUGUUGGGGAACUUGGCUGCGUGAUGAAAAGCAGAAGCCCAGCUUCUUUCUGCCCCGCUGGAGAAGUCUCCUGGGCCAUGUCACUGACAGGUAAGACUGUGGGGAAGUUGGGGGUGUGGGGGUGUCAGCGGUGGAGCCUGACGGGGCUGAGACUUUCUUUAAUCCUAGGAAACCAGACUGCGUGGGGUGUCCUGCCUUGGAGAGACCAAGCCAGCCAGGGCCUCGUCUGCUGGGGAUGGUCAAUGAAGAAGCCUGAAUCCCAGAUGGCAUGCCAGCCCCAGCUGCCCCGCAGACAUCUUGUUGGAGACAGGAUGAGACUGGAGAGUAAUCAAUGGAUGCCACAACCGGGACCUGAACUGGACCACCCAUUCCUGUGGACAGUGGACAACUCACAGCCCACUCUUGGGAGUCGGAGGGUGCUGGGCUGGCCCCACCCUGAAGGAAUCAGUUGGUACCAGGCUGCUGCCCGCUGGACCCGCAGCCCCCCUCCCCCCCCCCCAAGCCCACAACUGUGUAACUUUCCUCCAGACGAUGCCAUUUCCUUUGGUGGUUAAGGGUCAAACACUGCAUCAUGGGUACCAAACUACCUUGUGGCCACUCCAAGAGGUGAUGGAUGUACUUGUUUUUGUGUGUGUGUUGUGAGAGCUAGGGUUGGGACAGUGCAGGGUCAGAGGGGCCGCCCCACUUUGGACCAGUUGACGGGUUAUGGAAACAGGGGUCUAGAGCUUUGGACAGGUGCUCUGGUGCCAGACCGCUGAGCGGGUGUGAAGUUGCCUGGGGCCCUUAAUUCUAUAGUCAGCGUGACUUCCUCCUGGUCUGGUCUGCAUCGAGUUUUCUGCCCACCUCUGGCUUCAAGAGUACAGACUCCCGUCACUGCCCAAGGGGGGUGCCUCUGGGGGAGUGGGUAUAGGGAUAGAGGAGUUAACAGUUGGGGGUGGGUGUGUGUGUGUCUCUGUGUAUGUUUGUGUGUCAUCCAUCCUUGGAGCAGCCACAGGAGGGGGGUGGGAGAAUUAGUAGCAAAUUGCAGAGGGGGAAGAUGCAAAGUGGUUCCCCCCCCCCCCCCCACUGAAGGAAAAGGCACAGUCUGGUCCCCUCCUCCUCCUCCUCCCCCCUACCCUUGCCGGCCUGGACUCUGUAAGGCCAGAUGUAUCUGGAAUAAAAUGUAUGUGGUUUUCAUCA